rnacentral:rRNA from 1 species
UACGUAGGGGGCAAGCGUUGUCCGGAUUUAUUGGGCGUAAAGAGCGUGUAGGCGGCCAGGUAGGUCUGCUGUGAAAACUCGAGGCUUAACCUCGAGCUGUCGGCGGAAACCAUCUGGCUAGAGUCCGGAAGAGGAGAAUGGAAUUCCCGGUGUAGCGGUGAAAUGCGCAGAUAUCGGGAAGAACACCCGUGGCGAAGGCGGCUGCCUGGACCAGUCCUGACGCUGAGGCGCGAAAGCUAGGGGAGCAAACAGG